UCCUUACAAUUUGAAGUAGCCAGGCUUCC
rnacentral:piRNA from 1 species